CCUACGGGAGACAGCAGUGAGGAAUAUUGGUCAAUGGGCGGAAGCCUGAACCAGCCAAGUAGCGUGCAGGAUGACGGCCCUACGGGUUGUAAACUGCUUUUAUACGGGAAUAACGCGCCUUACGUGUAGGGCUUUGCAUGUACCGUAUGAAUAAGGACCGGCUAAUUCCGUGCCAGCAGCCGCGGUAAUACGGAAGGUCCGGGCGUUAUCCGGAUUUAUUGGGUUUAAAGGGUGCGUAGGCGGGCUGUUAAGUCAGCGGUCAAAUGUCGGGGCUCAACCCCGGCCUGCCGUUGAAACUGGCGGCCUCGAGUGGGCGAGAAGUAUGCGGAAUGCGUGGUGUAGCGGUGAAAUGCAUAGAUAUCACGCAGAACUCCGAUUGCGAAGGCAGCAUACCGGCGCCCGACUGACGCUGAGGCACGAAAGCGUGGGUAUCGAACAGGAUUAGAUACCCUGGUAGUC
rnacentral:rRNA from 1 species